UUUGAGUAGUCAUCAUCCGGUUGAAGUUGGCAGUCGGCCUAGCCGGAAAGUGCCUUCAGACGAGAAAGUGGGGCCUGGUGUUCUGGCGGGAGUUGCCAUAGCGACGGCAGUCGUCGGGUUCAUUCUCGGAGUGGGGGUGAGCCAGCUGGUGCAGUGGUGCCGCUCCAAGCCGAAGGGCCAAAGUUCAAGGCAGGCUGAUUUGGAAGGAGAAAACUCCACCGCGGUGCGUUUGGUACCGGUCCCGCUCCCUCGCCCAGACCAGACGGGGACCGUCCGAGUCCAUUACGACGACGUCCCGACAGAAAGCGCGCCGCAUUUUCUUCGCCAGACGAGCGGUCAGUACCAGGAACUCCGGCCGGCAGAGUACCAAGGCUUGGAGCACGGCGAUGAGAAUGACCGGGAAGAGGGGUACGUAGAGCCCAUCGCAAGAGACGAUUUCACUCCAUACGAGCCGGUAGACGACACUUAUCUAGAACUUGUACCAUGACUUCCUCUUCAUCCUAUAUACUCAUUUUGUAACAGAAUGUAAACUAUACCACAAAGAGAGAGUAGAUCUUUACAAUCUGAUACAAUCUAUGUUCCCCUUCUUCAUACAUCUAAGCUGUACAGAUAAAUUUAUAUUUCUAAUGAGCUUAGACAAACCUUUUAUAUUGAAACAUAUCUGUUCUUACCUUUUUGCCAUUACUAAGAAACGAUAAGAAACCGAAUUUACUUGAUUUUAGCUACUUGACGAUUAACGUUAUCUAUAUUCCAUCCUUUUGUUGUGACCUGUGCUUAACCCAGUGGGUAUGUGUGUACAAUAAAGAUCUUCAUUCAUCUAUAUACUGCUUAGCCCGAUUUGCAUCGGAUUACGAGCAGCUGCACAUGUGUUAUUUACAAAACAGGUGACCGGUACAAAUAAAACAAGGGUAACUGAAGGAGGGAACACUAAGGAAAGUAAAUAACUGAAUCUGUUGGUGUAAGCCAAGA